rnacentral:rRNA from 1 species
AAUCGAACCCGGAGAUAGCUGGUUCUCCUCGAAAUAGCUUUAGGGCUAGCCUCAUGGAUCAUUGGUGGGGGUAGAGCACUGAAUGUGCGCGGGGGCCACAAAGCCUACCAAACGCUAUCAAACUUCGAAUACCAUACAAUGCAGACCAUGGGAGUCAGUCCGCGAGAGAUAAGUUCCGCGGGCAAAAGGGGAACACCCCAGAUCAACCGCUAAGGUCCCCAAGUUCACGUUAAGUGGAGAAGGAUGUGGAAUUGCACAGACAACCAGGAUGUUGGCUCAGAAGCAGCCACACAUUUAAAGAGUGCGUAAUAGCUCACUGGUCGAGUGAUUGUGCGCCGAAGAUGUCCGGGGCUAAACGUGACACCGAAGCGAUGGGUGCGUCUGAAGAAGAUGCGCGGUAGAGGAGCAAUGUGCAGAGGCAGAAGCCGUAUCGAGAGGCACGGUGGACACUGCACAAGAGAGAAUGCCGGUAUGAGUAGCGAGAGGCAUGCGAGAAACAUGCCCGUCGAAAGCCCAAGGUUUCCUGGGGAAGGUUCAUCCGCCCAGGGUAAGUCGGGGCCUAAGCCGAGGACGGAAGUCGUAGGCGAUGGACAGCAGGUGUAGAUUCCUGCACUACCGAUGGAAUGAAGCAGUGACACAGAAGGAUAACUCGAGCAGGGUGAUGGUCAACCCUGUGCAAGCAUCAAGGUUGGGUUGUAGUGAAGUACGCAAUCCUAUAAGCUGAGAUGUGAUGCGGACCGAAAUUUCAGUAGGGAAGCGAGUGAGUUCACGCUGGCGAGAAAAGCUGCUAGUACAUCCAAAGGUACCCGUACCGGAAACCGACGCAGGUGGGCGAGGAGAGAAUCCUGAGACGAACGGGAGAACCCUUGUUAAGGAACUCGGCAAAAUGACCCCGUAACUUCGGGAUAAGGGGUGCCUGCGAGAGCAGGCCGCAGAGAAUAGUCACAAGCGACUGUUUAGCAAAAACACAGGUAUCUGCGAAAGCGAGAGCUGACGUAUAGGUGCUGACACCUGCCCGGUGCUGGAAGGUUAAGGGAACAUGUUAGAGCAAUCGAAGCAUCGAACCGAAGCCCCAGUAAACGGCGGCCGUAACUAUAACGGUCCUAAGGUAGCGAAAUUCCUUGUCGGGUAAGUUCCGACCCGCACGAAUGGUGUAACGACUUGUGAGCUGUCUCAACAGGGGGCCCGGUGAAAUUGAAGUAUGGGUGAAGAUGCCCAUUACCCGCGACUGGACGGAAAGACCCCGUAGAGCUUUACUGCAGCCUGAUAUUGAGUUUCGGUAACUGAUGCACAGGAUAGGUGGGAGUCUGAGAGACAUGGGUUUCGGCUCAUGAGGAGACGAUGUUGGGAUACCACUCUUCGGUUACUGAAAUUCUAACAUAGCUCUGUGAAACCAGAGGAUGGACAGUGUCAGGUGGACAGUUUGACUGGGGCGGUCGCCUCCGAAAGAGUAACGGAGGCGCCCAAAGGUACCCUCAGAAUGGAUGGAAACCAUUCGAAGAGCGCAAAGGCAGAAGGGUGCCUGACUGCGAGAGUGACAACUCGAGCAGAGACGAAAGUCGGGCUUAGUGAUCCGGCGGUAUUGAGUGGAAAAGCCGUCGCUUAACGGAUAAAAGCUACCUCGGGGAUAACAGGCUGAUCUCCCCCAAGAGUCCACAUCGACGGGGAGGUUUGGCACCUCGAUGUCGGCUCAUCGCAUCCUGGGGCUGUAUUCGGUCCCAAGGGUUUGGCUGUUCGCCAAUUAAAGCGGCACGCGAGCUGGGUUCAGAACGUCGUGAGACAGUUCGGUCCCUAUCCAUCGUGGGCGUAGGAGUCAUGAGAGGAGCUGUUCCUAGUACGAGAGGACCGGAAUGGACGCACCACUGGUGCAACUGUUGUCGUGCCAACGGCAUAGCAGGGAAGCGAAGUGCGGAUGGGAUAAACGCUGAAGGCAUCUAAGCGUGAAGCCCACCUCAAGAAUAAGACUCCACAAUAGACCCCUGGAGGACUACCAGGUAGAUAGGUCAUCGGUGGAAGCGCUGUAAGGCGUGU